UACGAAGGGGGCUAGCGUUGUUCGGAAUUACUGGGUGUAAAGGGUUCGUAGGCGGUGUGGCAAGUCGGGAGUGAAAUCUCUGGGCUCAACCCAGAGUCUGCUUCCGAAACUGCUGUGCUUGAGUGUGGGAGAGGCGCGUGGAAUUGCAGGUGUAGCGGUGAAAUGCGUAGAUAUCUGCAGGAACACCCGUGGCGAAAGCGGCGCGCUGGACCACUACUGACGCUGAGGAACGAAAGCUAGGGGAGCAAACAGG
rnacentral:rRNA from 2 species